rnacentral:rRNA from 1 species
AUGAAGCAGCUGCAGAAAAGGGACAUCCUGAGGAGAGGUACACCAACGCCUUCCUUGGGCACGGACCAGAGGACUCACAUUUUGUGUAGAGCUCACUUACUCAGAAGUGACGAUAUUGGAUCUGGUUUUGGUCAUUUCGGAAUUGCUGUUGAGGAUUUAAGCAGCACUAAUUGUUUAUCAAGUAUAAGUAGCUCAUCUAUUGCUUUCUCCAACACGAUUGAGCUUAGUUUCAGAUCCGCCACAAGUUCAAACACGAUUGAGCUGACGGGUCGUGUUGGAAUUAAUCUUGUUAUUAGUGCUAGGUUUAGAUUAUUUCUUCUUUUUGAGUUAGUUAGCAGCAUGUAUGGGUGCUCCGAGGAGUCUAAGCGGCUAGUUAGUUAUCUGCAGAUACUUGGGUUGGACUCAAGCAUAUACGUGCAGUUAGCUAGCGGAGCCGGAUCAAGCCAAUGUGUGUGGCUGGCCGUGGUGUGUGCAUGCAUGGCAGGAGUGUUUGCAUUACGUAAUAGAAUAAGCAGGCCAGGAGGGCUGUGGAAAAAUGUAGUGUUUGUGUCACCAAGGAAGAGAGCUGUCGGCAAAGCCGGUGCUGGUUUCUUCCUUGGGCGUGUGUGUACGUGUGUGUUCAUGAGAGUGUUCUUGUGUUCUUGUGAGAAACCAUAUACGAGAGAAGAGAGAGUUGAGAGGAGGAAGAAGAGCGGCGCUGCGAGGAUGAGGCGGCGCCAACAGGUCGGGGGCCACUGGUCGAGGCGGAGGGGAGGAACACCUCCCUCCCAGUCGCCCUCCUCGCCAUAUGUGUCUCAGGUGCUGCCACAGAAACUUGUUGUGCCAUGGGCUUUUUUCAGGGGGGAAAUGCCGAAUAAAAAAUAUAGGGAGACACAAGGAGAAUAUAACUGGUCAUACUUCAACAAUGACCACACUACUUAUGAUGGUUCAAGAGAAGAUAUCCGUGAUACUGAGCCUGGUGAUGAGGGCAUCAAGACAAAGAGAUUAAUUCACAACUCUGUUGUUGAUAGGUUGUACAAAUUUACAAGGCCUGGCACCACGAUAUGUAACUUAUGUUUGUUGCUUCGGAGAGUACUGCCAUGCUGUCAUGGUCUUCAAAAUGUGGAAGGGAGCCUAGGAGAAUCAGCUAGGUUUUUCUGCAAAUGUGACCAUGGAAUCCAUAUUUCUAGAAUUUUUAGAGUACAUGCUUGGCACUACAUCUACUACUCCAAGAUUAUGUGGUGCUGCCUUGCUGACCCAAAUCUCCAGGGUCUCUUUAAGGAGAAGCCAGAUGGAACAAAACAUGAUAAUGGCCAUUUGCCUUUCUCUGGAAAGGUUAUUACUCACUUUAUUUAUGAUGUCCUGUUUCUUGUCUCACGUUGCAUCAUUUCAACAGGUCCUCGUGAUUCCUCUGUCCUAUUUCUUUGUCGGAGAUGCAUGACAAAAUGGACGGGACAGUUCCUCAUUUGCUUGAAUGAGAUGAGAGUUGAUGCAUCCAUUCUUCACUGGAUGGUCAAUGUCAUGCUUGAUGUUUCUUUACCUUUCUAUUGUUUAAGUUUGCACCUGACUGAAGUUCUGGCUAGAAGAGGCAUGAAUCCUGCAGUCAGUGAUCAAGCAAUCUGCCUGGAUCUUGUAGCCAAAUUGAGAGGCAUCUCUGCUGCUGAGAAGAACUUCAUGGACCUCCCAGCACACACACUAACAACCAUCAAAUCAAAAAAAUGUUCCAGAAGCAUAGGUGUCAAUCCCCUCCCUUCGUUGUUUUCUCCUUGUCCCCCAAAACUCUGGCUUUGUUGGUCAUAUGAACGCUUGCAAAUUGAAAAACAUCAUCAACUCCAAGACCUAGGAGCCGCCGGACAUCACGCCGCCCCACCUUCCCAGCGACCAACACAACGUCGAGCCCACCAGCUACGUAUCACCCCACCGAGCAGCACACUGCCCCCCAGCCAGCCAACCGAUGACUUUCCUUCAAGCCACCCCACUGAGCACCACGCCGCCGUUCGCCGUCGCUACUCUCGAAAUCGUUCGCAGCUUCUUUUUUCACCCCAAAAGAAAACCGUCCAGAAUAUAGAUUAG